rnacentral:rRNA from 1 species
UACGAAGGGGGCUAGCGUUGUUCGGAGUUACUGGGCGUAAAGGGCGCGUAGGCGGCGCACCAAGUCAGACGUGAAAGCCCUGGGCUCAACCCGGGAAUUGCGCUUGAGACUGGUGUGCUUGAGUACGGGAGAGGAUAGUGGAAUUCCCAGUGUAGAGGUGAAAUUCGUAGAUAUUGGGAAGAACACCGGUGGCGAAGGCGGCUAUCUGGACCGUAACUGACGCUGAGGCGCGAAAGCGUGGGGAGCAAACAGG